rnacentral:lncRNA from 1 species
AUUGAUGUUUGCCACUAAGAUAACUUUUUAGCACCAGAACCCGGGUUUAAAUUGGUGCUUGAAAGCCCUGUUUGUUUCAGAUUCCAUCCCUCCCUGGGAAGCUGCUAGGAAACAGAAACUGCUGCUGCAAUUUCCCAGCUUCUGAAAUGGCAGCAAGUCCAUUUCCAUAUCUUUGAUGUUGCUCCCAUGAAGAUGUGAGUGCACUCAGAAGUGCUGGAUAACAGAGCCAGGUACUGAGAUUGUGCCUGACACCAGAGUGACUUUGCCUCUGUGGGUUGGCCUCAGUGAGGGCCAAGUGCAAGCACAGCCACAGGAACAGCACAGAGGCUGUCUCCCUGCAGAGAGGAACAGAAUGUGCCACAGUGAGUGAUGAAAGGAGGAAAGUGCCUCCUUCAGGAGUGAUGCCCCUCAGCCCCGGAUUUCCUGCCAGUUUCUUCAGCAUGCCCUU